rnacentral:rRNA from 1 species
ACUCCUGCGGGAGGCAGCAGUGGGGAAUAUUGGACAAUGGGCGCAAGCCUGAUCCAGCCAUGCCGCGUGAGUGAUGAAGGCCCUAGGGUUGUAAAGCUCUUUUGUGCGGGAAGAUAAUGACGGUACCGCAAGAAUAAGCCCCGGCUAACUUCGUGCCAGCAGCCGCGGUAAUACGAAGGGGGCUAGCGUUGCUCGGAAUCACUGGGCGUAAAGGGUGCGUAGGCGGGUCUUUAAGUCAGGGGUGAAAUCCUGGAGCUCAACUCCAGAACUGCCUUUGAUACUGAAGAUCUUGAGUUCGGGAGAGGUGAGUGGAACUGCGAGUGUAGAGGUGAAAUUCGUAGAUAUUCGCAAGAACACCAGUGGCGAAGGCGGCUCACUGGCCCGAUACUGACGCUGAGGCACGAAAGCGUGGGGAGCAAACAGGAUUAGAAACCCUGGUAGUCCCAUG